GAUGAACGCUAGCGGCAGGCCUAAUACAUGCAAGUCGAGGGGUAUAAAUCUUUCGGGAUUUAGAGACCGGCGGACGGGUGCGUAACGCGUAUGCAACUUACCCACUACUGGGGGAUAGCCCGGGGAAACUCGGAUUAAUACCCCAUGGUACUAUUUGAUGGCAUCUGAAGAUAAUUAAAGAUUUAUCGGUAGUGGAUGGGCAUGCGUCUGAUUAGUUAGUUGGUGAGGUAACGGCUCACCAAGGCGAUGAUCAGUAGGGGGUCUGAGAGGAUGAUCCCCCACACUGGCACUGAGAUACGGGCCAGACUCCUACGGGAGGCAGCAGUAGGGAAUAUUGGUCAAUGGGCGAGAGCCUGAACCAGCCAUGCCGCGUGCAGGAUGACGGCCUUCUGGGUUGUAAACUGCUUUUCUACAAGAAGAAAAAGGCCUUGCGAGGCAAAUUGCCGGUAUUGUAGGAAUAAGCACCGGCUAACUCCGUGCCAGCAGCCGCGGUAAUACGGAGGGUGCAAGCGUUGUCCGGAUUUAUUGGGUUUAAAGGGUGCGUAGGCGGGUCUUUAAGUCAGUGGUGAAAGCCCAUCGCUCAACGAUGGAACUGCCAUUGAUACUGGAGGUCUUGAAUUCUGUUAAGGUAGGCGGAAUUGAUGGUGUAGCGGUGAAAUGCAUAGAUACCAUCAGGAACACCGAUUGCGAAGGCAGCUUACUGGGCAUGAAUUGACGCUGAGGCACGAAAGCGUGGGGAGCGAACAGGAUUAGAUACCCUGGUAGUCCACGCCGUAAACGAUGAUAACUCGCUGUUGGC
rnacentral:rRNA from 1 species